rnacentral:rRNA from 1 species
CCAAUAGCGUAUAUUAAAGUUGUUGCAGUUAAAAAGCUCGUAGUUGAAUUUCGGGGUUAGUAGGUUGGUCAUGCCUCUGGUAUGUACUGGUCUCACUGAUUCCUCCUUCCUGAUGAACCGUAAUGCCAUUAAUUUGGUGUUAUGGGGAAUUUGGACUGUUACUUUGAAAAAAUUAGAGUGUUUAAAGCAGGCUAACGCUUGAAUACAUUAGCAUGGAAUAAUGAAAUAGGACGUUCGAUCCUAUUUUGUUGGUUUCUAGGAUUGACGUAAUGAUUAAUAGGGAUAGUUGGGGGCAUUAGUAUUCAAUUGUCAGAGGUGAAAUUCUUGGAUUUAUUGAAGACUAACUACUGCGAAAGCAUUUGCCAAGGAUGUUUUCAUUAAUCAAGAACGAAAGUUAGGAGAUCGAAGACGAUCAGAUACCGUCGUAGUCUUAACCAUAAACUAUGCUGAUUAGGGAUCAGAUGAUGUUAAUUUUUUAAUGACUCAUUCGGCGCCUUACG